GGAUAUAGAGACCGGCGCACGGGUGCGUAACGCGUAUGCAAUCUACCUUUUACAGAGGGAUAGCCCAGAGAAAUUUGGAUUAAUACCUCAUAGUAUAGCUCUACCGCAUGGUAGUACUAUUAAAGUCACAACGGUAAAAGAUGAGCAUGCGUCCCAUUAGCUAGUUGGUAAGGUAACGGCUUACCAAGGCAACGAUGGGUAGGGGUCCUGAGAGGGAGAUCCCCCACACUGGUACUGAGACACGGACCAGACUCCUACGGGAGGCAGCAGUGAGGAAUAUUGGACAAUGGGCGCAAGCCUGAUCCAGCCAUGCCGCGUGCAGGAUGACGGUCCUAUGGAUUGUAAACUGCUUUUGUACGAGAAGAAACACUGCUUCGUGAAGCAGCUUGACGGUAUCGUAAGAAUAAGGAUCGGCUAACUCCGUGCCAGCAGCCGCGGUAAUACGGAGGAUCCAAGCGUUAUCCGGAAUCAUUGGGUUUAAAGGGUCCGUAGGCGGUUUAGUAAGUCAGUGGUGAAAGCCCAUCGCUCAACGGUGGAACGGCCAUUGAUACUGCUGAACUUGAAUUAUUAGGAAGUAACUAGAAUAUGUAGUGUAGCGGUGAAAUGCUUAGAGAUUACAUGGAAUACCAAUUGCGAAGGCAGGUUACUACUAAUUGAUUGAC
rnacentral:rRNA from 1 species